rnacentral:rRNA from 1 species
CGUGGCUAAUCUGCCCUUGGGACCGGAACACCCCCGGGAAACUGGGGCUAAUUCUCGAUAGGUGAAGAACUCUGGAAUGAGUCUUUGCCGAAAAGUUGUUAAGGUUAUGCUCUUUGACAACGCCCAAGGAUGAGGCCGCGACCGAUCAGGUUGUUGGUGAGGUAAUGGCUCACCAAGCCUUUUACCGGUGCGGGCCGUGAGAGCGGGAGCCCGGAGAUGGGCACUGAGACAAGGGCCCAGGCCCUACGGGGCGCAGCAGUCGCGAAAACUUUGCAAUAAGCGAAAGCUUGACAGGGCUAUCCCGAGUGCCAUCCGCUGAGGAAGGCUUUUACCCAGUCUAGAACGCUGGGGGAAUAAGGAGAGGGCAAGUCUGGUGUCAGCCGCCGCGGUAAUACCAGCUCUCCGAGUGGUGUGGAUGUUUAUUGGGCCUAAAGCAUCCGUAGCUGGCUAAGUUAGUCCCUUGUUAAAUCCACCGAAUUAAUCGUUGGAUUGCGGGGGAUACUGCUUGGCUAGGGGACGAGAGAGGCAGACGGUAUUUCCGGGGUAGGGGUGAAAUCCUAUAAUCCCGGGAAGACCACCAGUGGCGAAGGCUGUCUGCUAGAACGCGCCCGACGGUGAGGGAUGAAAGCUGGGGGAGCGAACCGGAUUAGAUACCCGGGUAGUCCCAGCUGU